rnacentral:misc_RNA from 1 species
GAAUUCCGGUUCAAACCAGUUUGGAAGCCCGGUGGACAAGGAGAGAAGCCACGCGGUUUGAACAUUGUCUUCGCAGUAAAUGGUUGUUUCCGUGUAGGGUUGUGACAUUUUAUAACCAUGAGUUAUGGAAGAGGGCCUCCAGCUAUUGAGGGAAUGAGUUCCCUCAAAGUUGAUAACUUAACAUACAGAACAACACCUGAAGAUCUGAGAAGAGCAUUCGAGAAAUAUGGCGACGUAGGAGAUGUGUACAUCCCUCGUGACCGAUUUACGCGGGAAAGCAGAGGGUUUGCCUUUGUUCGAUUCUAUGAUAAGCGUGAUGCUGAAGAUGCAAUGGACUCAAUGGAUGGAGCAAUUAUGGAUGGCAGAGAAAUACGUGUGCAAAUGGCACGCUAUGGCAGACCAGUAGAUCCUUACAGGCGCGCUCCUCAAAGCCGCCAUAGCCGACGCUCAAGAUACAGCAGGUCCAGAUCGCGAUCAAGAUCACGCUCAGGAAGACGAAGAAGACGGUCUAGUGGGUCAAGAAGCCGAUCAAGGAGUCGUUCAUACAGUCGCAGCAGAAGCCGUAGCAGGAGUCGCAGCAAAAGCCGUAGCAGGAGUCGCAGCAAAAGCCGUAGUAGAAGUCGCAGCAAGAGCAGGAGCAGAAGUAAGAGCAGGAGUAGAAGCAAUGAAAAACAACGGUCGAGGUCUCCUUCAUGUGCAAGAUCUGCUGGAUCAGGUGGUUCAGCAAAAGAAAAUGGAACAGAUGAGAGGAACUGAGCUGUAGCAGCAGCAAGGGACUCCGGUGCCAUGAUGCGGCCAUUCCAGUUCCUCGAAUAAACCUAGCCCGUGAUAAUGUGUCCUUUGCAGAAUUGUCAAAAAGGAGCGGUAAAGGGGUAAUAAAUGCAGUGCAGUAAUGUUAGCUGUGUGGUAUGCUGAGUGUCUACCGGGCGGGCAGUCAGUCGCAGUGGCUGAGUGGCUGGUUGAUGCUGCUGCUGUCGGUUCCUGCAGAGUAGCUGGUGGACUAACAGCAGAGCUGAUACUGCUGAUCUAAAUGCUGACCGUGAUGCAGUUCCAGAAACACCACAAAAUUGUUUGGCUUUACAAAUCAGUUCACCUUGUAGAUGUAGGGUAUACUUUGUGGAUAUAGGGUUUUUUACUUUUUAUACCAGAUAUUAGAAUGUUAUAUGCUGUUUUGUAAAUGAUUUAUAUUUAUUAAAAUAAGUCAUUUAGAUAAUCUGAUUAAACAUAAAGCUAAUGGUAGUAAUUUUUGUUAAUGAAGAUUAUAGGUUCUCAUAGCGUGUGAGGUUUUGUUAGAAUAUACUGUAUAAUUUUGUGAAGGGUUUUAAGUCAAGAUGAACUGAUUUGUCUUCUAAAUUUUGUAAAAGAUCAGUAGUCAUUGUUUUGACUACUGAAUUUAACUUUAAUUUUCCUUUGGUUACUUGGGUGAAGACAGUGGGCACAUUCUUAAGAAACAUUUUUUCAAAUCUUAAUUGAGUAAUCCCAUGUUAACUGGGUAUCAGGGUUUUGUUUUUUUGUAUAAUCCAAGAACUAACAUUGUAAUGUCUGAAACAAUGUAUGUAAAGGCUAUAUAAAACAAACUGCAGUGAACCCUGUAAAAUGAAAUUAACAACUUCCUUUUUGGUAUGUGUAUCGAGCUCCCAGAAAUGAAUGUAUUUAUGUACAGUCACAUGUAAUUUUGGCUCAGUUAGCUCUGCUUUCAGUUGACUUUGGGUAACAUUACUGAUAAUUCAACCAGGGGAGAUGUUUAUUUUGAGUAAAUGAUGAAACAAAUGAUCUCAACAGUCAAGUUCUCGUGGUUCCAGAGCUGGUUGGUAUGAAUCUUAUUACCAAUAUGUAACUUGGGAUAGCCAUGCUUUGAAAGAAUAGCUAUGAUUAGCGAAAAAAUUCUGCCUCCAGAUGCGUGGACCAAAUUUUAUUGCUCACUCCUUCCCAUCCAUAUGAAAAUGGUCUUCAGUGAUGUGAAAAAUGACAAAAGCGAAAUCAAAAUAUUUCAAACUAAGGAAAAGAGACCUGCAUUGUUAAAAAAAAAAAGUCCUCAAGUGUUUAUAAAUGAAAAAAAAACAGGUUUAUGGUGUGUAGGCAGUGAACACCAUUCCAUUUUUUAAAAAUUGUGGGCUUUUCCAGGUUGCAUCUUUAUCUUGUUCUUGAUGUAUGCAGCAUCCCAGGAGAGGUAAGGUCACGUUUGUUUUGCAGUUCAGGGCAAAUGAAGACGGAUUGCAACAUUCUCCAAGUGAAAUCGGAAUAAAAUCAAAAACUU